UUCUUUCCCAGGCGGUGGAGGGAGACUGUGACUUCCACAUCCUGAAACAAGAUGGCCAGUUCAGGGUGCUACACGCCCAGUGUCAUUCCACACCAGACUCUGCAGAGGACGUUCGGAAGUUUUGCCCACGAUGCCCAAUCCUGAUCCGGUUCAAUGACACCAACGUGGUCCACACUGUCAAAACUGCCCUGGCUGCCUUCAAUGCACAGAAUAAUGGAACCUAUUUUAAACUGGUGGAGAUUUCCCGAGCUCAAAAUGUG
rnacentral:lncRNA from 1 species